UACGGAGGGGGCUAGCGUUGUUCGGAAUUACUGGGCGUAAAGCGCACGUAGGCGGCUUUGUAAGUUAGUGGUGAAAGCCCGGGGCUCAACUCCGGAAUUGCCUUUAAGACUGCAUCGCUAGAAUUGUGGAGAGGUAAGUGGAAUUCCGAGUGUAGAGGUGAAAUUCGUAGAUAUUCGGAAGAACACCAGUGGCGAAGGCGACUUACUGGACAGAUAUUGACGCUGAGGUGCGAAAGCGUGGGGAGCAAACAGG
rnacentral:rRNA from 1 species